rnacentral:tRNA from 1 species
GCCUUCGUGACAUAUUGGUCAGCACGCUCGACGCGUAUUCGAGAGGUCCGUGGUUCGAGUCCCGGCGAAGGCG